rnacentral:rRNA from 1 species
AACGAACGCUGGCGGCAUGCCUAACACAUGCAAGUCGGACGCUUUUGGGGCUUCGGCCUCAAGGGAGUGGCGGACGGGUGAGUAGCGCGUGGGAACCUGCCUUGGAGUGGGGGAUAACCGAGGGAAACUUCGGCUAAUACCGCAUGCGCCCCGGCGCGAGCCGGGGGAAAGAUUGAUCGCUCCAAGAGGGGCCCGCGUCGGAUUAGGUAGUUGGUGGGGUAACGGCCUACCAAGCCUGUGAUCCGUAGCUGGUCUGAGAGGAUGAUCAGC